rnacentral:lncRNA from 1 species
CAAUUAAGGUGGUCUUAAUAAUGAUAUGACAAGCAGCAUUUGUGAAUAUUUACUCUGAAUGUAACAAGAUGAAUGACGUGCACCUCCUCUGUUUCAGCAUCAUCAAUCUCUCCAUUAGUCAUGGUCUUGAUAACUCCUAUUAUCUGUACCUUUGUUGGAUGAAUGAACGAAGGCACUGGGCUUUAUUACACAACAGACUCAUGGACUGAUAUGUCAGUGGGUGUUCUGACUGAUGUAUCCAUGUAUACUAUUUGCCUCCUCACAAGUUUGACUCUCUGCUGCUUUCAAGGGCUUAUAGCAUGUAAUCCUGACGGAGAACCCACAUUCAAAUUAUGAACAACAAUUGAAUAGAAGAGAUAGGAAUAUCGCUGUCAAACGCUUACCUAAUUAUUUUUCUAGAAGAGUUACAAAGAAAUACAAAGAGUAUUGACAAAGUGUACAUAACAUUAACUAGGCACCAGAAACAUUUUUAAGAAUGUUCUGCACAAUUAUAAGCCUGGCCCUAUACCCCACAAAAUGGUACAGAAGGAGAGAGAAGAGCAAUUUACAUAGGAUACAAAGAGCUGUAUCAUUCUUGAAGUUACACCUCUGAACUAUAUCUGAUUUUCACAUAUUUGGGCUUUUUAAAGACAGUAUAAUGAGUUUUCAAAUGCCUGGUUAAGAGAAGCAUCAAAAAGAGCAUGAAGAACUAAGGUGGGAAAUUCUACCACAAAAUUUAAUUUACUUCCUUUCUAAUAUUCAUCCCAGUGAUUUAAUCCCUUAGCUCUAAGGAAAUGCAACUUAGCAAACUAAAGCAAAUUUAUCACUUCUGAAAACUGCUAGAAAACCCCCAAGACAGAACAAUUACUCCCAACAACAAGAAUGGCCAAAUCUGGAAAAUCCGCCACGUCCUUUGUUAUUAGGAGAAUAAGGAAAAUCUCCAGGUAUAAGCAUGAGAAACACUAGUAUCUGAAGUAUUGACAGAGAAAGAGAAUCUCAUAUGGUUUAUCUACUUGAUGGUUUUACAGACACUGAUCCAGAAGGGCUGC